AGGACUUAUGAACAGAAGAUAUUCAAGAAUUUAAAAGAACCAUCCAGGAGGGCUGAAACUACAUUCUACCCAUCUCCUGAGAAUAGUUCUGCAAAGUGCAAAUAAAAUGACACAUCUCAAUGAAGGUAUUCAGCGAUAAGCAAGUCAAUGAGACCACAGGCUCUAUAUGAGUUUCCUCCUUUGUUGAAGCCUGGAAAGUGGCUCUGGACAGUGAACUGGUCUACAGCUUGUUCUACUGCUGACUCUCUAGGAUUUAAUGCACUGCUUUCUGGGAAUCUCUAUCUUGUUCACAGGUCUUCAGAUCAAGAGACACUACAACUAGAUGUCAUCAAAAUCAAGAUAUCUUGGACUUUGUGCCUGAUGUCAUGAUUGGGUGAAACUUUUGUAAGUCGUGUGAUAAGGAAAGGAGAAAGAAUCAGAUGUUUUCAGGAAGAUUGAUCUUAACUCUAACUAUACAGCUAAAAAUGAAAUCAUAGUCUAGUUGUUAUGAGUAUACUGAGAAGCUAAAGAAGAAUUUAAAUACUUAUUAUCUCUUUGUCAUACUUUAUAUUUUAAAAUGUUAGUAAUAAUAUAUACCUAACCUUGUUGUAAUGAGUAUAAAAGGCACUAUAUGAAAAGAUUUGACAUAGCAUUGUGACUCAGUAUAUUAUGAUCCAUGUUGUUCCUAACUGAAUUACCAGUUUUAUAUCUGAAUUCAUUUUAUAUCUAUUUUUGGAAUAUUAAAAAACUACAUUUUCAUUUGAUAAAUAGUCAUGAUUUCACACUAACAUCUUGAAAGCUGAUGAAAUAUUCCAACUAUAAUUUUGUUCUUAUAUAAUUCUACCAUUAACACAGACAUUUAGGCUGUUAGAAUGUCUUAUUUUUAUUGUCCAUUGCUAUGCUAAUGAUAUAUGCUAAUUUUGACUAUAAAUUCUGGUUAUUAAACUUCUGUAUUGCUAAUUAGAAAAAGAGCAUAUUAUUAAUUUCUAAAGAAAAGGUAUAUUUAAAAUAAUAAUUUUAGGCCAGAUUUUCAUUUUUGAAAUAUUUCUUGAAAAUACCUAUUCAUUAAGAAUUUCCAUUUGCUAAGCAGAUACAGUAGUUUAGCAGUAUUCAUUUCAGUGUUCCAUUUUUUUUUAAAUUUUGGAAAUAAUCACUUAACCAUUCAUUAAUGCGAUAAAAUGCUGUAAUGGCACUUGCAGUGUCCUAUUAAUCACUCUAUUGUAAUUAUGACAGACCUCUUUAGCCAGUAUGGUACCAUUUCUUUCAGAAACAUAUUACAAGUUUGAAAAGAGGCUUGCUCCUUACUUUUGCCACACACACUGCCACAAACACACUCAAGUUUGGGGGAGGCAAAUCUAUGUCUUAAACUCUGAUUGUAUAUAAUAAAAUGUUAUUAACUUUUACAGGUAAAUUUAAAACCUGGUUACAUCUGUUACUAAAAGAAGCAAAAAUGAAUUUUAGUAGCUUAAUAUAAUUAAGAACUUAUGAUAAACACCAGAACCUUGCACUGGACUCUCUCUCCCCGAGACCCAUGUUCAGAGGUUUAGAAGUGAUGUGGUUUUGUAACCCCUCUUACCAAGUGUUCCUAUCCAUGCUAUAUAUCCAGAAAAAAUGAAAACAUUAACUUGAAGAGAUAUGUGCACUCCAGUGUUCAUAGGAGCACUACUGAUAACAGCCAAGACAUGAAACCACCCAAGUGCCCAUCAACAAAUGAUGGGCAUAUUUUAUAUAUAUAAUGGAUUUUUACUCAGCCAUAAGAAAGAAUGAAAUAUUUCCAUUUGUAGCAACAUGAUGGACUUGGAGAAUAUCGCACUAAGGAAGUGUGACAUACAAAGACAAAUAUGAUAUCACUUAUAUUUGGAAUCUAAAAAAUAAUACAAAUGAAUCUCUAUAAAACAGAAAAAGGCUCACAGACAUAGAAAACAAACUUGUGGUUACAAAAGGGGAAAGGGAGGGAGUGGGAAGAUAAAUUAGGAAUAUCCUAAAUUAUAAUUCCUAGAGUGCUGUACUAUUUUUAAUACUUUAAAAAUAAAGAUGAUAUGGUAUUGGCAACUACUAUACAUGAAACAGAUGAGUAACGAGUAUUUACUGUAUAGCACAGGGAACUAUAUUCAAUACCGUAUAAUUACCUAUAGUGGAAAUUAUCUGAAAAAAUAUAUAAAACUGAAUCACUGUGCUGUAUACCUGAAACUAAUGCUGUAAGUCAAUAAUACUUCAAUUAGAAAAAAAGAGUGGGGGAGUAACUGGGCUUGUUCGAAAUUCUCUCUUGAAGCUUUAUCCAUAAGGAAAAGUGCAUCAGAUGGUAAAAGCCAGUAUCAUUAAGUAUAUCUACUGGCUAGUCCCUUGGGGAGAGUCGUCAUAUGCUUCAUCUUAGCUGUUUUACUCCAAAGAGCUUAUCUAUAACUCUAAAGCAAGAAAUCAUUUCUUCUGGAAUUACUAGGGCUCUUGGUUCAACUGAUACUUCUUCACCUAAGGUAGCUAUGGAAAUAUCUCCCAUCUUGAUUUCUUCCUAUUUAAUGCUGAGAAGUAGAGUAUCUUCUGAGACUUGUAUCAUUUACAUAAUUGCAGUUUAUUGCUUAAUUUCAUCACUGAUUAUGUCAUAAUAACUGACAAAGUCAUAUACACAUAUACUUUUAAAGUAUAUUCCAUACAGCUUAUAGUGCAUUUACACUUUUAGUAUUUUUUGCUUUAUCUUGUUUAAGGCCAGUGGAAUUUAUUUCUAUCUUUAUUUAAAGGAGAGCUGUUCAUAUUUUGAAAUGCUGUUACAGUGAUGUAUCAGUUACAUUCCUUCUUUCUUUAGGCCUAUAACUUGCCAAUGAAGUAUUUCUGUUACCAUUGGUACAAGUGUAGCAUAUGGAAAAUGUAAAUCAUUUCACUCUCUUUAGACUUACUUGUGACAAAGCUUUACUCAGGAAUGCUUUGCUUAAGCAAUUAGUCAACCAUAAAUUCUAUAAUGCACAACAUCUUGCAUUAGUGGAAAAGCAAGCUACUCUGGAAAUCUAAAUUCACAUAAAUUUUCCAGAUUUGAGACUGGGUUUUUUUUUUUAAUGGAAACCAUUUGGUCUAUUUGACCCUCAGAGACAACCAAGUAGGCAGCAGCAUGAGGUUUUGAUAACAUAUGGGUUAAUUAAUAAAGUCUAACCAGUCAGGGAAGUGUUGGAUUUAAAGGCAUUUAAUAAGAUUAGACUUUCAAACAUUAUUUGGUGCAUUAAUUCAAAUAUUCAAAUUGGCACAGCCCAGAGGCCCAGAAAUGAAAAAAAAAAUGAGGGCAGAUAGGAAUAAAAUUAAAUUUUAGGAAGGUAUUAAAAUAAAAAUACACUCACAACCCGAAAUUUAGAAAUGGAAUUAGAGUUUUUCAGCCUAUUAAAACUCACUACCAUUAGUAUAUGAGGCCACCAAAGUAGGUAGACUGAUAACUGUGUAAGCAGAUAUGUAUUUAAAAAAAGAAAUUAUUUUUUUUCAGCAUUAAAUUUGAAUCUUCUAUACAGUCUACUAAGGUAAUUUCACCAAUACUGGAGAAUCUUUAUUCUUAAGGUAUUAAAAGCAGUACAGCAUUUUAGGAAUUCUAAUUGAGGAUUUUUGCUCUAUAACUGGUAUGGUAUUUCAUACUCAUCAUGCUAAUACCUAUAAUGUUUAUGUCUGUGGCCUGCAAUUGUCCACUGAUAAUUAGAUUCAGGCCAGCGUGGGAACCACAGAAAGAAAAAGUAAACUUUUCUUCUGAGAACCCAGUACUAUUGAAAUUAACUGUGAAAAGAGAAAUACAAAAAUCACUAGAAGCAUAUCCUGCCAGCUACUUCUAAAAUGUACUAUUUGUUGCAUUUACGAGAUAAUAUGCCUUUUUGUACCGUAGUAGUAAAUUAAAACUAAAAUGAAAUUAAAACAGAGCCUGUUUCCACCAUGUUGUAAAUGAAAGUCAUUAUAAUUCAAUGCCAGAUAUGAGUCAGUUAAUUCUACCUCAGCCAAAGCUCUGAUAUUUCAGAGAACAGCAGAUGUUACCCUUUAUACUACCCCAUUAAUAUACCUAGUGAGUUAUUCCACUCUUAUCCCCAGGGCAGAGAAUAAAGGCAUAUUUUCCUUUCUAUUCCUUAAGCAAACCUACUUGCUCCCUGAAGCACAAGAUUUAAUUAUCCUUAUUGCAUUAUAUUUGCUUGAAUAGCUACAGAAGUUAUUAAUGGGCAUAACAUUUUCUGAUCUUUUUCAUGAAAUUCAGCUAUGAUAUUUAUGCUGAUUUAAUUACCUCUAGCACAUUAAUUAGUCCAGCAGUAAGAAUUAAGGACUUAGGAUUUAUAACAAAAUUUAUUCCUAUUGAUUAUUAUGAUAUGUGACAGUUUGGCUAAUGGGAGAGUUUAAACAUAGAAUUCACAUAUGUAUGUAAGUUUCUGGGAAAAAGGAACUGGAGACCUACUAUAUUUACUAGCUGUUUAUGGGGAUAUCUACCAAGAAAGGACCCUGGAAACCUAGUGGGUGCUAGAUCAACUACUAAAUGCCUGUGUAACCUUAGGCAAAUAAUUUAGCUUUCUGUGUUUCAGCUGCAUCAUCUGUAAAGAGGAAAUAGUGGUAAUCUUUACAUUAUAGAGUCUUUUUUAUAUUAGUUUAAUAUCUAUAAAGCACUGAGCGAUAUCUGGUACAUCAUAUGUUAUACAUAAAUGCAGUGAUUUUAAUAAUAAUAAUAAUUGAAAAUAAGCAGAAGGGACAGACUUAAAAACAGAGAGUGAAUUUAUGUUCAGUCACUUGACUGCUAGGUAGAAAUCUAAUGAGGAGUUAAACUUUGAGGAUUUUUAUGACUGAAUCUCAAGUUACGAGUAUGUCAGGAUAAAUGGAAUUAAUAAUUUUGGGUAAUAUCAAAUUUUAGUUACUAUUUGAAGACAAUAAAUAAAGGAGAAAUUUGAGAGAAAAUGAGCAAUUAAGGAAAGAGUUAGGACUAAACACUGGUAUUGGAAGACUUUCGUCAGUCGGGGAAAGAAAAAAAUAAUGUAAAGGAUAUUGGGGUAGAGAUAAGGAGAUGGUUGGUAGGAGGAGCAAGAAAAAUUACAGUACAAGGACAUGGAAAAGUGGCAUACAGUGUUAAAAGCAGUAAAAUAAAUGUAUCAAAGGAAACCAGUGGCUUUGAAUAUGGAAUUUAUUGGUAUCCCUUGAUUGCAGUUUCAGAAUUUGGUGGAGGAAAGACACUGACUGCACUAUAUUGGGAAGUAAAUGUUGAGCUGAAGCGAAGGAAGCAGAUUAGAAAACUUCAAAAAUUUAGGUGGUCAGUUUAAGGCUUGAUUAAAAAUAGAAAGAGAACAAUGACCACAAGCCAGUCAUAUUAUGAGAUUUUACCACCUGCUUGUCUUAAAAAUCUCAAGUUUUGAAUUUAGUUUGAAGUGAUUGAGUUGAUAGUGAAGAAGCAAAAGCAAGUUUCUCUCCAGAAAAACCCAUUUCCACACAGACCUCAAGUAAUUCACAUACUUAACAUUCCAGAAAAUGUGAGCUUUCUCGUAGGAAAUCAGAAAACUCAUACAGAAACAAAGUACCAAGAACAAGAUCUAGCAGAAGUGAUGCAAAGCAAGAUCAGAAACAUAAUAAUGUGAGAUAGUGAAUGUCAGACAUAGUUUUAAAUAAGCACUUCUUAAAGAAUGAAAUAAAAGGUGGAUUACAAAUAUGAGCAAAGAGAAACAGAUUAGAAAAUGACUGGGUAUAUUUGAAAUGAAAUAAAAUACAAAGUCCAGAAAUGAAAAACAUUUAAUUAAACAAACAAACAAACAAAAAACCACAAGGGAGUUCCCAUUGUGGCUUAGUGGAAGUGAAUCUGACUAGCAUCCACGAGGAUGCAGGUUUGAUCCCUGGCCUUGCUCAGUGGGUUAAGGAUCCAGCAUUGCCAUGAGCUGUGGUGUAGGGUGCAGAUGUGGCUCAGAUCUGGUGUGGCUGUGGCUGUGGCUCAGGCCAGGGGCUGCAGCUCUGAUUCAACCCCUAGCCUGAGAACUUCCAUUUGCCAUGGGUGUGGCCCUAAAAAAACAAAAAGUUACACUGUAGAUAUUUAUCCUGUCAAAUGUGAUGAUAUAACUUUUUGUACUUCAUACUUUAAGGUUAUAUAAGCAUAUGACAUGUAUUAGUUUUCUAUGCUAAUAUUAAUUAUAUUUUAAUAUAUAUUAUUGUAUUAUAUACUAAUUAUUAUAAACAUAACAGUGUAAAACAACACACAGUUAUUUCCUCAUAGUUUCUGUGGGUCAGGAAAAUGGCCAUGGAUUCUGCAUGGCUGCAAUCAUUGUGGUGGUUAGGAAUGGGUUCUCAUAGAGAAGCUCAAUAUGUAAUGAAUUUGCUUUCAGUUUCAUUCAGGUUGUUGUAGAAAUAAUUCCCUUGCAGAUGUAAUACUGAAGGCCCUGUCCUAUUGCUGGAUGUUCUCUAGAGGCUGUCCUCAACUCCCUGGCACAUGGGGAUCAGGCCAGUAAAAAGAGCAAGACAAUCUAGAGUGAGCCUGCAAGCAAGAUGAAAUCCCUUCUGUUGUAAUCAUGGAAGUGACAUUUCAUCACCUUUGCCUUAUUCUAUUGGUUACAACCAAGUAACAGACCCCAUCUACACUCAAGAGAAGAAAUUAUAUAAGAGCAGUGAAUUAUACAUGGGCAUAAGUACCAGGAUACAGGUAUUAUGGAGAGUCACUUUAGAGUCUGUCUACCAUUUGGUAAUAACUGAAGCCAUACAGGAAUAUCCAUACAUGAAGUGCAUAAAAUAAAAUGAAAAGUAAGUUUCCCUCCUCCUAAGUCUUUUUAUCCCCAAUAGUGUCUACAAAAUGUAAGGGUUUCCUUUACAACCUUCCUAAAAAUAAAAUCCCCUGAUCUUUUUUCCCCAAAUGAAAAAUGGCCAUCAGUAGAUGUUAGACUGAAUUCUACCCCUUUCAACUGCCAAUUCAUAUGUUGAACUUCUAACACCCAACAUGACUGAAUUUGGAGGUAGCAUCUUUAAGGAGGUAGUAGUUUAGGUUAAGUGAGGUCAUAAGGUGGGACUAAUUCAAUAGGAUUGCUGUCCUUGUGAGAUGAGGAAGAGACAUUGCGGAUCAUGUGCACAGGCAAAAGGCCAUGUGAAGACACAGUGAGAAAGCCACAGUCUGUAAGCCAAGGAAAGAGGUCUCCCCAGAAACCAACCCUGAUGGUGAAAAUUUCUGGUUUUUAGAAUUGUGAGAAAAAAAUUCUGUUGGUUAAGCUAUCCAGUCUUUAGUAUUCUGUUAUGGCAGCCCUAUCAGAUCAAUAAAGUAGCUCAUAGUUUUAGUAAACUUUAAGAUAUAUCUGAAGGCAUUAAUUAGAAUGUGGUAAAAAAAAAAGGUGAAACAUAAAAGAUAAAUAUCAGGCAAGAAGAAUAGAGUACCAGCGAUACUGCAUUAGAGCACCAGCAGGAGAGAAGAAAGAAUAUGAAAAGGGAAAUACAAAAAUAAAUAAUGGCUUCAAGAAUUCUGCAGAACUAGUGUCUGUCAAGAGCUUUGAAAGGUUUUAGAUGGUCUAGCUGUAAGCUAAUGAGUUAGUCACCCACAGUUUUAUAGAAGUUGGCAGAAGAUUCAAGAUGUCCUGAUCAGAGAAAGGACUUAAUACUCAUGAACCAGUAGGGAUCAUGAGCUCCAUAUUUGCUUAAGAUAUUCCUGACCUCCAAAUCUGACAAAAGAGAUGCAGAAAGGUCUAGGAGGAUGAUAUUCAUAGUAGAUUGUGUGACAGCUGGGAAACUGAGCUUAGGGAACACAAAAUUUUAAAGGUGGUAUUAGCAAACCUGCCCAAUAUUUGCCUGGGACACAUAUUAUUCCGAUCAGCAAACAAAUUUGUCCUUUGAUCGGAAGGAAAAUCCUCUCUAUAUUCCAAGGCUGUUUUCUAUACAGAUACUCUUAAAAAGAUAAUCCAGAACACAGCAUCCAAUAUUUCUUCAAAAUUUGUACAGAUAUGCAAGAGAGACCUAUGGAGAACUGCUUCCCAGCAAAGUCACUGCCUCCUACAAAGCCCACUGACUUCAAAGACGGAAGAGUUUAAUGAUUUUUCACCUAGAUAUACAUCAAAAUGAGACUACAGAACACCAAAGGCAAAGAAGAAUCUGAGAGGCAGCCUGAGAGAAAAGAUAUUUCACCUACAAAGAAUGGAAAGAGCCAAUACGUGACUUUUCAACAGUGUUAAAGGAAAGCAGGUGUCAAUAAACUAAAAUGAUCUAAAAAAAAAAA
rnacentral:lncRNA from 1 species